UUUGUUUUUACAGGAAAAGUAAUCGUUAUGGUAUUAUAACAAUGCGCGUACGAAUGAUUAACUAAAAUAAAAAUAUCACUAUACAAACAAUAAUAAUUAUUAUUAUUAUUAUUCUGGUGUUUCGGAAUGAACGGUAAUAUUUCAUUUAAACCGUUUUGACUCAAAAAAUGAUUACAUACAUUUGUAUAAAAGAGGGAUUAAGUUCUUUCCGACCGUAAACAAU